CUAUAUUAUUACAGGCAUUCCACACAGUUUUUAACUUUUGUGCUGUCACAGAUCACAGUUUUCCGCACUGCCUCAGAGGGUCAGCAGGAUAUUGAGAUGGCCAUCUUAACCGCUCUGCUGAAAGGCACAAAUGCUUCAGCUCCAGACCAGCUGAGUCUGGCUUUGGCCUGGAACCGUGUGGAUAUUGCUCACAGUCAGAUCUUCGUCCAUGGACAACACUGGCCUUCUGCUGGGUCCCUGCCCACCUCAUUUACAAGCCAGCAGGAUAAACCAAAGAGCCCCAUCAGCACCCGUGCCAGCAAGGGUAA